AUCGAGGGCCAUUGGGAAGAAUACUAUAUUAAGUAAUCAAUGUAAUCCCUCAUUAAAUAAAGUUUUAUUAUUAUUAUUAUUAUUAUUAUUAUUAUUAUUAUUAUUAUUAUUAUAGCAAGUUAUAGUCCUUUCUGAAUGCAAUGAUAUUUAUUUCAUUGCGAUAGCUUUUAUAGCUUUUACGUUACAUGAUAUCAAACAGUGUCCGGUUGCUUUUUCUCCAAAUUAAAAAUAAAAUCAAUUUAACAAUGAUAUUCUCUUUAUAUAGAUCUGUAGACUUGGGUGAGUUUAACCGCGCAGAGAAAGGCCGAAAACUCUCCAUGGUCGGUGAUCUUACUGAAUUUCAGCGACAAGAGAAAGGUCGCAAGCUAUCUAUUAUUGGUGAACAGUUCGAAUUCAAGAUGCAUAGUGACAUAUAACUCAGAAAAAAUUUGAACUUGUGGAAUUAUUGUAAAUAUAAAUUUUGGAAAAAUCAUUUUCUCAGUGGUAUAAAAUAUGAA